UCCUAAGGUUUUAUGUUUCUUUCCCAGACCCGCACCCUGCUGUCGCUCAGGCUUUGUUCCGAGUUCCCUGUCCGGACUCUCCUUCCUCCAAGCACAGACCAUGUGGCGCGACGCUGUCCUCCAGGCAGACCCCGCGGGGCCCCGCUCCUCCCGCCCCGACGUGAGUCCUGCUGGUGAACACGGCCGCCCUGCUCCGCUGCCGACUCACACUGCAGGUCGCGCUGCACGUUGAAGAAGAGGCACCUCCGUCGUCCUCUGCUGGGGAAAAUCCAGGCCCUGCGAGACUGGCUGACCCGCCUGGGGACACGAGGUCACGGCGGGAGGAGGUUGGGCUAAGCGGCCGAAAGCACCGAGCACCAGCUU